GUAUGUGCGGCAAUAACAUGUCUGCCCAGCUUCCCGCUACCGUGCCCGCCAUCGGGAAAGCCACCGCUGCGGUGAUUUUCCUUCAUGGUUUGGGAGAUACAGGGCAUGGAUGGGCAGAAGCCUUUGCAGGUAUCAGAAGUUCACAUAUCAAAUACAUCUGCCCACAUGUACCAAUUAUGCCUGUAACAUUGAAUAUGAACAUGGCUAUGCCUUCUUGGUUUGAUAUUACUGGGCUUUCACCAGAUUCACAGGAGGAUGAAUCUGGAAUUAAACAGGCAGCAGAAAAUGUAAAAGCUUUGAUAGAGCAAGAGGUGAAGAAUGGCAUUCCUUCUAACAGAAUUAUUUUGGGAGGAUUUUCUCAGGGAGGAGCUUUAUCUUUAUAUACUGCUCUCACCACACAGCAGAAACUGGCCGGUGUCACUGCACUCAGUUGCUGGCUUCCACUCCAGGCUUCAUUCCCACAGGGGCCUAUCAGUGGCAUUAAUAGAGAUAUUUCUAUUCUUCAGUGCCAUGGAGAGUGUGAUCCUUUAGUUCUCCUAACUAAAGUUUGCUUCUCUUACUGCCGGAAAGCUAAAAACAUUAGUAAAUCCAGCCAAUGUAACCUUCAAAACCUAUGAAGGCAUGAAGCACAGUUCAUGUCAACAGGAAAUGAUGGAUAUCAAGCAGUUCAUUGAUAAACUUCUACCUCCAGUUGAUUGAUGUCACUAAGAGGCCUCCUGUAGAAGUGCACACCAGCAUCAUUGUAGUAGCGUAUAAACCUUUUCCCGUGCCCAGUCUUGAAACUUCUAAUGUUUGCAGUGUUAAAAUGUUUUGCAAAUACACACCAAUGAUACAGACUACAUGAUACUAUCUCCUUGUGGGAAAGAUGGUCUUCUUUUAAGUUUCUAUACCUGUAUUUGUAGAAUAUGAUUCAGAAUAUACUAGUAUUAAAAUAGGUGAAGCAGCUAAGCUUCUUUUUCCCAAAGUAAUUCAGCAAAAUAAUAAAAUACUGUAACCAGAUUUUUUUAUUAUGUCAUUUGACAAUUAUUAGUAUACUUAAUGAAAAUUUGUUUAGGUAUA